CCCUUCGUGGUGUAGUGGUCUACAUUCUCGACGCGUAACCGAGAGGUCCGUGGUUCGAUUCCCGGCGAAGGCG
rnacentral:tRNA from 1 species